UACGUAGGGUGCGAGCGUUUGCCGGAAUUAUUGGGCGUAAAGGGCUCGUAGGCGGUUUGUCGCGUCGGGAGUGAAAUCCACUGGCUUAACUGGUGGCUUGCUUUCGAUACGGGCAGACUGGAGGUAUGCAGGGGAGAACGAAUUCCUGGUGUAGCGGUGAAAUGCGCAGAUAUCAGGAGGAACACCGGUGGCGAAGGCGGAUCUCUGGGCCAUUACUGACGCUGGAGGAGCGAAAGCGUGGGGGAGCGAACAGGA
rnacentral:rRNA from 1 species